GCAGACCCCUCGUACGGCGUUACCUCACUGAACUCCCCCAGGGCCGGAAGGCAGCAAGGGCAGGUGGGCUCUGGCGGGUGUACGGGGGGUCCUUUGC
rfam:Paraoerskovia marina strain DSM 22126 genome assembly, chromosome: I